UACAGAGGGUGCAAGCGUUGCUCGGAAUUAUUGGGCGUAAAGGGUAGGUAGGUGGUCUCAUUUGUCCGGGGUGAAAGCCUUGAGCUUAACUCAAGAAGUGCCCCGGAAACGGUGAGACUGGAGUCUUGGAGAGGGUCGUGGAAUUCCCGGUGUAGCGGUGAAAUGCGUAGAGAUGUGGAGGAACACCAGUGGCGAAGGCGACUCUUUGGCCUGUAACUGACGCUGAGGCGCGAAAGCGUGGGGAGCAAACAGG
rnacentral:rRNA from 1 species